GAGGGUACAGCUCUGUGGCAGAGCGCAUGCUUAGCAUGUACAAGGUCCUGGAUUCAAUCCCCAGUACCUCCA
rnacentral:tRNA from 1 species